AGCGCCGCCGGCCGCACC
rnacentral:miRNA from 1 species